AUACAUACCUGGCAGGGGAGAUACCAUGAUCACGAAGAUAGUUUUCCCAGGGCGAGGCUUAUCCACUGCACUCUGGAUGUGCUGACCCCUGUGAUUUCCCCCCAAAUGUGGGAAACUUGACUGCAGAAUUUUUGGCAGUGGGGCACUGCGUUCGAGCCACCCCUGU
ensembl:snRNA U1 U1 spliceosomal RNA